GUCAAUGUGGCGUAGGGGUUUGAGCGUUGGACUAUGACUCUGGAGGUUAGGCUUCGAUUUCCCACUUGGCCA